rnacentral:rRNA from 1 species
GAUCAGCAUGCCACGGUGAAUACGUUCCCGGGCCUUGUACACACCGCCCGUCACACCACGAGAGUUUGUAACACCCGAAGUCGGUGAGGUAACCCUUGGAGCCAGCGCCGAAGGUGGGACAGAUGAUUGGGGUGAAGUCGUAACAAGGUAGCCGUAUCGGAAGUGCGGCUGGAUCACCUCCUUUCUAAGGA